rnacentral:ncRNA from 1 species
UAAAGAUUGCUUUUAUAGAUUUAAAAUUUGAUUAUGGUUUUUAAAUUUUAAAAUAAUAUUAUUUAAGUUUAAUUUAUGUAGUGGGCAAUGUUAAUUUACCCCGGUAAUUAAUUAUUUGUAUAAUACUUGUUCCAGAAUAAUCGGCUAGGCUUGUUAAAAUUUAUACUUUAUUUUGUUUUAAUUAUAAUUUUAAGUAGUGGUUUUUAUAAUUAUAGGUUAAAUUUUAAUUAAUUUAAAGUUAAAAGUUAUAAUUUUAAGUUUUGGAAAACGAAUUAGAUUAGUACCUAAUUAGUCAAAAGUUAAAAGAGCAGGAGUAAAGUGGUAUUUAAACUGAAAGAAUAUUGGCAGAUUUUCUAAAUUAUCUUUGGAGGUUGAGUAAUAAUUGAGAACCCUCAUUAACUACUUUUUAGUUUGUCUCAUGUAUGAUCGUUUAUUUUAUACUUAAGGUAUAUAAUAAAAAAUUUUUAUUUAAUAAAAUAGAUAUAUAUUUGGUUUAUGUAAAAGUUUAAUUUGACCUACAAUAGUAUAAUUUUGUGGAUUUAUAAUUUAGUAAUUAUAAUGAAAAUGUAAAAGACAGUAAAAAAAUUUUUAUGAUUUUUUGAAGAUUAUUUAGAUGUGGUACAAAUCAUCCAUCAAUUGCCCAAAGGGGAGUAAGUUGUAGUAAAGUAGAUUUAGGGGAACCUAAAUCUAAUAAU